AUUGAACGCUGGCGGCAGGCCUAACACAUGCAAGUCGAACGAGUGGCGGACGGGUGAGUAAUGUCUGGGAAACUGCCUGAUGGAGGGGGAUAACUACUGGAAACGGUAGCUAAUACCGCAUACCAUCAGAUGUGCCCAGAUGGGAGUAGCUUGUUGGUGGGGUAACGGCUCACCAAGGCGACGAUCCCUAGCUGGUCUGAGAGGAUGACCGGCCACACUGGAACUGGGACACGGAACAGACUCGUACGGGAGGCAGCAGUGGGGAAUAUUGCAAAAUGGGCGAAAGACUGAUGCAGCCAUGCAGCGUGUAUGAAGAAGGCCUUCGGGUUGUAAAGUACUUUCAGCGGGGAGGCGUUACCCACAGAAGAAGCACCGGCUAACUCCGUGCCAGCAGACGCGGUAAUAC
rnacentral:rRNA from 1 species